UUGACAUCACCUAUCACCAUGGAAACACAGAAACACAUGAGUAUUUAAAAGUGCAGCAGGUUAUAUCUUUAAUAGUUUCAGUAAACAAGUAAAACUUUACAUAUCAAGGUCACUAAGGCUGAUCUAUGUUUAUGCAGUCCCUUUCUCGCACAGAUAGCAGAAGAGCUGUAUCAUUGCACGGGAACACAUGCAGGAACUCCAGCUCUUUUAUUGCAGCUAUAAAGGAAACAAGUGUCAAAGGGUCCACACCAUGGGUGCAGGGUCACACAUACUUAAGUCAUGAUAUAUGGACAGGAGCAUAAAUAAGAAGGCACAGUCUAUAAGGAAGAAGUCAGCCUUUCCAAGAGUCAUAACAAAUUGUUUAUAAUAGAUAAUCCACUUCAAGAUCUGAACAAUGUACUGCUAUGAAGGACAGAACUGCCACCCAGUGGAACCAAAGAAUGUGCCAGUCUCAUACAGCUAUAUCACUGGAUUUCAAACUCUUCUUAUUCUCACACCUGCUGAACUGGUUAUAUUUUUGGGGAAGAAGUCAGCCUUUCCAAGAGUCAUAACAAAUUGUUUGUAAUAGAUAAUCCACUUCAAGAUCUGAACAAUGUACUGCUAUGAAGGACAGAACUGCCACCCAGUGGAACCAAAGAACGUGCCAGUCUCAUACAGCUAUAUCACUGGAUUUCAAACUCUUCUUAUUCUCACACCUGCUGAACUGGUUAUAUUUUUGGGGUAGCAGAUAUAUUCUUUAUUCUUUUCAAGAUACAAAUGAAUAGAAAAUGUACAGCACACAUGUAUUAUAUCAGUUGCAGGGCAGAUAACUAUGGCCCAAAUGUAUUAAGCCUUAACAAGAGAUAAAGUGGCCACGGAUAGAGUGAUAAAUGACCAGCCAACCAGCUUCCUAACUGUCAUGUCACAGGCUGUGUUUGAAAAAUGACAGUUAGGAGCUGAUUGGCUGGUCAGUUAUCUCUCUUUAUCCGUCUCCACUUUAUCUCUUGUUAAGGCUUAAUGGGUGGAAUUCAAUUGUUUGAAAAGUCGGUUGGGUGUCUGUUUUUUCUAUUAGAUAGGAAAAAACAUACUCCCAACCGACUUUUCAAGCAAUUGAUUACCCCCCCCCCCCCAUGUAUUUGUCCCUAUAUUACAGAAAAAAAGUAUGAAGCUCUUGCCUCAGAUUCUCACUAUUUCAUAUUUCUAGUUACCAACAACAAGAUCAUUACCAUAUUGAUGCCUGUAAUCCUCAAUGCUUUAUCACCAGCAAUCUAGAAAUAGACUCGUGUAUCCCCUCUAGAGACUGUAAUCAUCCCUGUGGAAUCGGUUUAUGGUCCUCACUAUGUUUGUGUCCCAUGACCUUAUUGAAUGUUUUUACCUAUAGUAUAGC